rnacentral:rRNA from 1 species
ACGGGAGGCAGCAGUGAGGAAUAUUGGUCAAUGGGCGGAAGCCUGAUCCAGCCAUGCCGCGUGAAGGCAGACGGUCCUAUGGAUUGUAAACUUCUUUUGUACGGGAACAAUAAGGGUCACGUGUGGCCUGAUGAGAGUACCGUACGAAUAAGCAUCGGCUAACUCCGUGCCAGCAGCCGCGGUAAUACGGAGGAUGCGAGCGUUAUCCGGAUUUAUUGGGUUUAAAGGGUGCGUAGGCGGAAUGGUAAGUCAGCGGUGAAACGCGGGUGCUCACCCCCUGCCCUGCCGUUGAAACUGUCGUUCUUGAAUGCGGAUGCUGUGGGAGGAAUGUGUGGUGUAGCGGUGAAAUGCAUAGAUAUCACACAGAACACCGAUUGCGAAGGCAUCUCACAAAUCCGUAAUUGACGCUGAGGCACGAAAGUGCGGGGAUCGAACAGGAUUAGAUACCCUGGUA